UGGGGAAUUUUGGACAAUGGGGGAAACCCUGAUCCAGCCAUCCCGCGUGUGCGAUGAAGGCCUUCGGGUUGUAAAGCACUUUUGGCAGGGAAGAAACGUCAUGGGUUAAUACCCCGUGAAACUGACGGUACCUGCAGAAUAAGCACCGGCUAACUACGUGCCAGCAGCCGCGGUAAUACGUAGGGUGCAAGCGUUAAUCGGAAUUACUGGGCGUAAAGCGUGCGCAGGCGGUUCGGAAAGAAAGAUGUGAAAUCCCAGAGCUCAACUUUGGAACUGCAUUUUUAACUACCGGGCUAGAGUGUGUCAGAGGGAGGUGGAAUUCCGCGUGUAGCAGUGAAAUGCGUAGAUAUGCGGAGGAACACCGAUGGCGAAGGCAGCCUCCUGAGAUAACACUGACGCUCAUGCACGAAAGCGUGGGGAGCAAACAGG
rnacentral:rRNA from 1 species